GAUGAACGCUGGCGGCGUGCCUAAUACAUGCAAGUCGAGCGAACAGACGCGGAGCUUGCUCCUCUGACGUUAGGGGCGGACGGGUGAGUAACACGUGGAUAACCUACUUAUAAGACUGGGAUAAUUUCGGGAAACCGGAGCUAAUACCGGAUAAUCUCUUGAACCGUAUGGUUCAUUAGUGAAAGUCGGUUUUGCUGUCACUACUAGAUGGAUCCGCGCUGUAUUAGCUAGUUGGUAAGGUAACGGCUUACCACGGCUACGAUGCGUAGCCGAACUGUGAGGGUGGUCGGCCACACGGGAACUGAGACACGGUCCAGAGUCCUACGGGAGGGAGCAGUAGGGAAUCGUCCGCAGUAGGCGAGAGCCUGACGGAGCAACGCCGCGUGAGUGAUGGAGGUCUUCGGAUCGUAAAACUCUGUUAUUAGGGAAGAACAAAUGUGUAAGGAACUAUACACGUCUUGACGGUACUUGAUCAGAAAGCCACGGCUAACUACGUG
rnacentral:rRNA from 1 species